UACGGAGGGUGCAAGCGUUAUCCGGAUUUACUGGGUUUAAAGGGUGCGUAGGUGGGUCUGUAAGUCAGUGGUGAAAUCUUCGAGCUUAACUCGGAAACUGCCAUUGAUACUAUAGGUCUUGAAUUAUCUGGAGGUAAGCGGAAUAUGUCAUGUAGCGGUGAAAUGCUUAGAUAUGACAUAGAACACCCAUUGCGAAGGCAGCUUACUACGGAUUGAUUGACACUGAGGCACGAAAGCGUGGGGAUCAAACAGG
rnacentral:rRNA from 1 species